rnacentral:rRNA from 1 species
CGGUUAGACACAGGGAUUGCCUUAGUAGCGGCGAGUGAAGCGGCAAAAGCUCAAAUUUGAAAUCUGGCACCUUCGGUGUCCGAGUUGUAAUUUGAAGAUUGUAACCUUGGGGUUGGCUCUUGUCUAUGUUUCUUGGAACAGGACGUCACAGAGGGUGAGAAUCCCGUGCGAUGAGAUGCCCAAUCCUAUGUAAGGUGCUUUCGAAGAGUCGAGUUGUUUGGGAAUGCAGCUCUAAGUGGGUGGUAAAUUCCAUCUAAAGCUAAAUAUUGGCGAGAGACCGAUAGCGAACAAGUACAGUGAUGGAAAGAUGAAAAGAACUUUGAAAAGAGAGUGAAAAAGUACGUGAAAUUGUUGAAAGGGAAGGGUUUGAGAUCAGACUCGAUAUUUUGUGAGCCUUGCCUUCGUGGCGGGGUGACCCGCAGCUUAUCGGGCCAGCAUCGGUUUGGGCGGUAGGAUAAUGGCGUAGGAAUGUGACUUUGCUUCGGUGAAGUGUUAUAGCCUGCGUUGAUGCUGCCUGCCUAGACCGAGGACUGCGAUUUUAUCAAGGAUGCUGGCAUAAUGAUCCCAAACCGCCCGUCUUGAAACACGGACCAAGGAGUCUAACGUCUAUGCGAGUGUUUGGGGUGGAAA